rnacentral:rRNA from 1 species
UACGGAGGGUGCAAGCGUUAUCCGGAUUCACUGGGUUUAAAGGGUGCGUAGGUGGGUCUGUAAGUCAGUGGUGAAAUCUCCGAGCUUAACUCGGAAACUGCCAUUGAUACUAUAGAUCUUGAAUUAUCUGGAGGUUAGCGGAAUAUGUCAUGUAGCGGUGAAAAUGCUUAGAUAUGACAUAGAACACCGAUUGCGAAGGCAGCUGACUACAGGUAUAUUGACACUGAGGCACGAAAGCGUGGGGAUCAAACAGG